rnacentral:rRNA from 1 species
AAUGGGUCAGCGACUUAUAUUCUGUAGCAAGGUUAACCGUAUAGGGGAGCCGUAGGGAAACCGAGUCUUAACCGGGCGUUAAGUUGCAGGGUAUAGACCCGAAACCCGGUGAUCUAGCCAUGGGCAGGUUGAAGGUUGGGUAACACUAACUGGAGGACCGAACCGACUAAUGUUGAAAAAUUAGCGGAUGACCUGUGGCUGGGGGUGAAAGGCCAAUCAAACCGGGAGAUAGCUGGUUCUCCCCGAAAGCUAUUUAGGUAGCGCCUCGUGAAUUCAUCUCCGGGGGUAGAGCACUGUUUCGGCUAGGGGGCCAUCCCGGCUUACCAACCCGAUGCAAACUGCGAAUACCGGAGAAUGUUAUCACGGGAGACACACGGCGGGUGCUAACGUCCGUCGUGAAGAGGGAAACAACCCAGACCGCCAGCUAAGGUCCCAAAGUCAUGGUUAAGUGGGAAACGAUGUGGGAAGGCCCAGACAGCCAGGAUGUUGGCUUAGAAGCAGCCAUCAUUUAAAGAAAGCGUAAUAGCUCACUGGUCGAGUCGGCCUGCGCGGAAGAUGUAACGGGGCUAAACCAUGCACCGAAGCUGCGGCAGCGAACGUAUCACCCAAGACAACUUUACGGAGUUGACGAUUGACGGAGCGAAGCGACGUCAAAGCGUUCAUUAAAGUCGAGUUGGCUUAGGGAUACGUUCGUUGGGUAGGGGAGCGUUCUGUAAGCCUGUGAAGGUGUGUCGUGAGGC